CAUGUGCCACAAGAUUCAAUGUGACGAAGAAUCUUGAAAACUUUUUGGGUUUUGGGAUUAACUAAACAAGGCCUAAUUGUCACUUUGCUAUGACAACAGUAGAGUUCAAAAUAUGUGUCAUAAAAAAAACUGGAAAAAUAAAUAUGCAGUGGUAGGUACCAAAGGAUUUGAUUAAGCGACUAUCAUGAAAAAAAUCGAUAUGGAAAAAAAACCAUAUUUUAAGUAAAAAACAAUCCAAAAGGAGAAUCGAUAAUGCAAAUUAAUUAAGGCGU
rnacentral:lncRNA from 1 species